rnacentral:lncRNA from 1 species
UUUUGAGAACUAUACAGUAUGCAACUUUAGCUUUCAAAGCCCCCGAGCUAACUUGAAGUAAUGACAUGGGAAUUUAAACCUCAACUAAAUCUCAUAUUAACAGAACCUGUAGGAUUGACAUUAAACAACCAUGAUUUUAACAUAUCAGCCUAACCACAUAACAGUCAAACAACAACAAAUAAUUCAACAAUGGCCAAGAUGUUACUGCAAAUACAACCCUGAACAUUUCUUUCACUUAUAGCCACUUUCAAACAAAACUGAUAACUUAAACAGAAGAAUCUAAACGUUUAAAGCUUCAGUCUCAUGCUAUGACAUAUUUUCAUGAUCAAUGUACUAAUCAAAAUAUUUCUAGGGCUAAAUAUUACGGCUAUACAUGAGAUUGAAGGGAGAAGAAAUAAGGUUAAACAACAAAUAACAUCAGCUUUUCAUAUUUCCAAGUCCCAACUUUAUAUUACAAUUAGGUGAAGUCCAUGGUUCCAAAAUAUACCUGGAAAAUGCCAAAGAAAAGCCAAGAGUGUGAGAGAGCAGCAAACAGCAGUGACCCAGCAAGAGGAAACCAAAAAAAACAAAACCAGCUCUAAGCAAGCAAUGGAACAGUGAUACACGGCAAACCAAAAUCCAGACUUCAGCAACCAGAAUCCAAAUGAUUCAAACCCAAACUCUUAAACCCAAAUUCGAGCCAUUUUACUCAGAUGCAAGACUUUGAUGUUUUCAGUUGUUUUAAACUAAACAAUGAGGAUUAGAAAACCAAAAAUCAAGCAGAAUUUUGAGUAGUUUUCAACUAAGAAUUGCAGGAAAAUUUAGUAAUAUUUCAGAAUUCUCAAGACUUACCUGUUUCAGCUUUUUUCAAGAUUUUUC